AAUAGAUACCCGGGUAGUCCUGGCCGUAAACGAUGUCCACUAGGUCCUGGCCCCUUUGACGGGGUCGGGGCCGAAGUAAAAUGGUAAGUGGACCGCCUGGGAAGUACGGUCGCAAGGCUAAAACUCAAAGAAAUUGACGGGGGCUCACACAAGCGGUGGAGCAUGUGGUUCAAUUCGACGCAACGCGCAGAACCUUACCUGGUCUUGACAUCCUUGGAAUCCUUCAGAGAUGAGGGAGUGCCCGCAAGGGAACCAAGAGACAGGUGCUGCAUGGCUGUCGUCAGCUCGUGUCGUGAGAUGUUGGGUUAAGUCCCGCAACGAGCGCAACCCUCGCCUUUAGUUGCCACGCAAGUGGAUCUCUAGAGGGACUGCCGGUGUUAAACCGGAGGAAGGUGGGGAUGACGUCAAGUCCUCAUGGCCUUUAUGACCAGGGCUACACACGUGCUACAAUGGCCGGUACAAAGCGUUGCCAACUCGCGAGAGGGAGCUAAUCGGCAUAAAAACCGGUCUCAGUUCAGAUUGGAGUCUGCAACUCGACUCC
rnacentral:rRNA from 1 species